rnacentral:ncRNA from 1 species
AUAAUGACAUUAAUAAUCACGGCGGCUAUAUACAGUGAUGUAUAUAGACAAGUUGACUAAUUUCGGGAAAACCUAAACGAGAAAUCGUAUGGCAAUUCCGAGGGAAACAAUGGAGAUCAUUGUGCCCGUAGAGACUAAACGUCAGCACCCCUUUGUAAAAAUAAGGGUUAUGCUAUAGUCCGAUCCCUCUUGAAAAAGAGGU